rnacentral:rRNA from 1 species
UACGGAGGGUGCGAGCGUUGUCUGGAAUCACUGGGCGUAAAGGGUGCGUAGGCGGCCUGAUAAGUAGGGGGUGAAAUCCUGCGGCUUAACCGCAGGGCUGCCUUCUAAACUGUCAGGCUCGAGCACAGUAGAGGCAGGUGGAAUUCCCGGUGUAGCGGUGGAAUGCGUAGAGAUCGGGAAGAACAUCAGUGGCGAAGGCGGCCUGCUGGGCUGUUGCUGACGCUGAGGCGCGACAGCGUGGGGAGCAAACAGG